rnacentral:rRNA from 1 species
CCUACGGGUGGCUGCAGUGGGGAAUAUUGCACAAUGGGCGCAAGCCUGAUGCAGCCAUGCCGCGUGUGUGAAGAAGGCCUUCGGGUUGUAAAGCACUUUCAGCGGGGAGGAAGGCGGUGAGGUUAAUAACCUCAUCGAUUGACGUUACCCGCAGAAGAAGCACCGGCUAACUCCGUGCCAGCAGCCGCGGUAAUACGGAGGGUGCAAGCGUUAAUCGGAAUUACUGGGCGUAAAGCGCACGCAGGCGGUCUGUCAAGUCGGAUGUGAAAUCCCCGGGCUCAACCUGGGAACUGCAUUCGAAACUGGCAGGCUAGAGUCUUGUAGAGGGGGGUAGAAUUCCAGGUGUAGCGGUGAAAUGCGUAGAGAUCUGGAGGAAUACCGGUGGCGAAGGCGGCCACCUGGACAAAGACUGACGCUCAGGUGCGAAAGCGUGGGGAGCAAACAGGAUUAGAUACCCCGGUAGUC